UUUUAUCCACCAUUCAUAUGCUUUUUAGUGCUACUUUAUUUCAAAUAAAAAAAAUGGAACAAUUGGUAGAAAAUUAUGUGUAAGGAGCUAUAAAAGAGAGGUUGUGAGUUCAAAUCCUAUAUCCCCUGUUUUAGUUUUUUCUCCAUUUUAUUUUUAUUUUUAUCACAUUUUUCAUCCUAUUAUUAUAAAAAUCGUUUUCACUUGUUUUUAA
rnacentral:lncRNA from 1 species